CAAUGUGUGGCAUACGGCUCAGUAACACGUAGUCAACAUGCCCAGGGGACGUGGAUAACCUCGGGAAACUGAGGAUAAACCGCGAUAGGUCACUACUUCUGGAAUGGGUAAUGACCCAAACCUAUAUGGCCCCUGGAUUGGACUGCGGCCGAUCAGGCUGUUGGUGAGGUAAUGGCCCACCAAACCUGUAACCGGUACGGGCUCUGAGAGGAGGAGCCCGGAGAUGGGCACUGAGACAAGGGCCCAGGCCCUAUGGGGCGCAGCAGGCGCGAAACCUCUGCAAUAGGCGAAAGCUUGACAGGGUUACUCUGAGUGAUUUCCGUUAAGGAGAUCUUUUGGCACCUCUAAAAAUGGUGCAGAAUAAGGGGUGGGCAAGUCUGGUGUCAGCCGCCGCGGUAAUACCAGCACCCCGAGUGGUCGGGACGUUUAUUGGGCCUAAAGCAUCCGUAGCCGGUUCCACAAGUCUUCCGUUAAAUCCACCUGCUUAACAGAUGGGCUGCGGAAGAUACUAUGGAGCUAGGAGGCGGGAGAGGCAAGCGGUACUCGAUGGGUAGGGGUAAAAUCCGUUGAUCCAUUGAAGACCACCAGUGGCGAAGGCGGCUUGCCAGAACGCGCUCGACGGUGAGGGAUGAAAGCUGGGGGAGCAAACCGGAUUAGAUACCCGGGUAGUCCCAGCUGUAAACGAUGCAGACUCGGUGAUGAGUUGGCUUUAUGCCAACUCAGUGCCGCAGGGAAGCCGUUAAGUUUGCCGCCUGGGGAGUACGGUCGCAAGACUGAAACUUAAAGGAAUUGGCGGGGGAGCACCACAAGGGGUGAAGCCUGCGGUUCAAUUGGAUUCAACGCCGGG
rnacentral:rRNA from 1 species